rnacentral:rRNA from 1 species
UAGGGAAUCUUCCGCAAUGGACGCAAGUCUGACGGAGCAACGCCGCGUGAGUGAAGAAGGAUUUCGGUUCGUAAAACUCUGUUGUUAGAGAAGAACAGCGCAUAGAGUAACUGUUAUGCGUGUGACGGUAUCUAACCAGAAAGCCACGGCUAACUACGUGCCAGCAGCCGCGGUAAUACGUAGGUGGCAAGCGUUGUCCGGAUUUAUUGGGCGUAAAGCGAGCGCAGGCGGUUAGAAAAGUCUGAAGUGAAAGGCAGUGGCUCAACCAUUGUAGGCUUUGGAAACUGUUUAACUUGAGUGCAGAAGGGGAGAGUGGAAUUCCAUGUGUAGCGGUGAAAUGCGUAGAUAUAUGGAGGAACACCAGUGGCGAAGGCGACUCUCUGGUCUGUAACUGACGCUGAGGUUCGAAAGCGUGGGUAGCAAACAGG